UCGAAGGACUAGAAUGAGCUCACA
rnacentral:piRNA from 1 species